rnacentral:rRNA from 1 species
AGUGAACGCUGGCGGCGUGCCUAAUACAUGCAAGUCGAACGAUGAAGUCCUAGCUUGCUCGGAUGGAUUAGUGGCGCACGGGUGAGUAAUAUAUAGUUAAUCUGCCCUACACAGAGGAACAACAGUUGGAAACGACUGCUAAUACCUCAUACUCCUAUUUGACAUAAGUUAAAUAGGGAAAGUCUUUUCGGUGUAGGAUGAGACUAUAUCGUAUCAGCUAGUUGGUAAGGUAAUGGCUUACCAAGGCUAUGACGCGUAACUGGUCUGAGAGGAUGAUCAGUCACAUUGGAACUGAGACACGGUCCAAACUCCUACGGGAGGCAGCAGUAAGGAAUAUUGCGCAAUGGGGGAAACCCUGACGCAGCAACGCCGCGUGGAGGAUGACACUUUUCGGAGCGUAAACUCCUUUUAUCAGGAAAGAAUAAUGACGGUACCUGAUGAAUAAGCACCGGCUAACUCCGUG